rnacentral:lncRNA from 1 species
AUAAGUCAAAACCCUCGCCAAAGUAUCUGAAAGCUGCUAGCUCAACAACUUCGUGGAAGUCAUCCGAGGACUUGUAUUCCUCGAUGACUGACUCCUUGGCGACGACUGACUACUUCUUUAGCUCAGCUAUCUCCUUUUCGAGCCUAGCCAUGGUGGCAUCGUUAUCCUCCUUCAUUCUCUUCAACUCUUCAACUUUCCAAUGGCAUGCCGCUUCUAGGCCCUGAGAUCGACCACUUGUUUCUCCAACUUUGCGGCCACUUGCUGAGCACGGGUCAUCUCGAUUUUGACCAAGGCAGCACGGGCCUGUUGGGUCAUCGCUUCUUCUCUCAUUUGCCUACCACGUCUGAUGAGGGAAGACUCGAGCACCACCGCCUAAAAAAGAAAGAGUGAAUUCUUCAGAGAAAUGAAAAUGCAAAAGUAUUAAACUUAAAUAUAAAAAUAAAUAAUUACCUGACCGACAACAUGGAAGAACUGUGAGAUUGCUCGAUUGAGGUCCAAUCUCCCCACCUCAUCCUUGUCGGCAAGCGAGAUUACCCCCUUAAAGAGUUUCUCCUCCACGACGGGAGGGAUUCCCCAGCAUGGAGACCUUGAUCCCCAAAACAACGCCAGGGUGGCCAUGGUUCCCUCCCCAGGAGCUACAAUAGGUAAAGCCCCCUUGCUCGUCGCCUUGCUUGAUGAUGCCCUAGGCUUGGCUAAGGCCUUGGUAGAGGACCCCUUUUUUUGUCCUCUAUUAGCGGCAUAACCCCCUUCUUUUUAGAGUUAGCUGAUGAUUUGCCCUUCUUCAAGGGCAAGAUGUUGGGCUUCUCGUCCUUUGGGCGUUUCUCGCCAAUGACGAUCUCCUUUGAUGCUGGGGUCGUGCUCUUCGGCUUUGCUCCUUACGCCCUUUGGGCAAGCUUCUUGAGGCUGAUUCUUUUUGAUAUAGCUGCAAAAGAAAACUAAUGUCAGUUAAUGGAAAAGGUAAAAUACUUGAAGAAGAAAGAAGGCAGUACCAUCUGAUUUGAGCUCGGGGGCAACCAUGGUUCUAACCAGGCCUCCGACUAGAGCUCGAGCUUGAGCUUGAGCUACUUGGUUCCCAACUAAGGAAAGAGGGUCGAAGAUUUGCCCCAAGAAGUGUUAGCAGUAUCCUAUCAGGAAGACACGAUAAAACUCUUAUAUGCCUCUUCCUGAUGAUCCCUAGGUAUUCUACUGAGUCAUCUCGGGAAUUGUCACCUUGGCGAGGAUUGUCUCGGGAAUGAUGGGACUCACCCUCAUCGCCCGUAACUAGAGCUGCAUUGCCUACCUUUAUAUCCUCGGCACUGUCCAUGCCACUGGACGCCAUUGAUUUGGAGGCGAGUCCGAAGCUCCUAAGGAAGGACUUAGUGUCGAGAACUUCCUUGAUUGUAAAGAAGUCCCCUCCAUUAGUGAGUCCAAGAUCCCACUUAUUAGUCAGUCCUAGACAAGACAAGCGGUUUGUUGUCGCGCUUACCUAAAAAUGGUAGAACACUUAUUAGUCAAGGGAAAAGUGCGACACUUGAUAACUAAAAGAACGACUUAAUGGAUAAAGAUUGACCUGGGGUGCCCUACAACCUCGAGAUCCUUGGACCCCCAGCGUACCUAGAGAUCCCCGGGGAGAACUCCCAGUCCUCUCCUGAGAUGAAAAAGAUUUUCUUCUUCCAUCCCUUGACAUUUCUAGGGUACCCCCGAGUAGAGCCAUCUAGAGUCUAGCUUCGGGGUUUUAUACAGGCUGAACAGGCUCUUGAACUCGUUGAGGAAAAGGGCGAAGUUAUGAGCUUGCCAUAGUACCAUCAUGUAGAUGACACUUUGCCACGCAUUGGGAAUGAGCUCGGCAAGGCAGAUGUUAUAGAAGUACAAGAUCUUCCUAAUAGUGGGAUGGAUUGGAAGACAAAGACUGGCUUGAAAAGUGGCCUCAUAAAAGGCCAUCCCGCCCAGGUGAGUAGACUCUAUGGUCUCGUCCACCUCGAGUAACCUGAUGUGAAUGCCUAACGGAAUGGAACAUGACUCUAAGGCGAUGCAGCUCGUCUUGAGUCAUGGUAUUAGUUUCUCUCUCAAUUUGAGGUGGAGUAACAGGUGAGGGACUACCCUCAGGACUAGGGUUCCUCCCUAGGGGAGGAAGGAAGUGUAUUAACCUCGUCGGUCAUAUAUGACUUUUCUCCUAGGUGAUCGAAAAUCUAGGAGGGUAGAAAGUUUUCUAAAUUUUCUACGUCGCCGUUACCGGACAUAAAAUACAGACUAAAGAUUAAAAGUGGAUGGCUAAUACUUACUGAAUGACUUAGAUGAUGGCGAGAUGGCAAGCUGACAAGGGCGAGGUUCACGUUGGAGCGAAAGCAACACUUCAUUAUCACUGGCAAUAGAAGAGUACGCUGUGUGGUAGAACCCAUAUUUUAUAGAGGGCACCAAGGGCUGAGAUCUAUUUGUUUCAAAGGAUAGGAUCGCGCGGCUCUUUGAAUUCUGAGGUAAUAACCGUCGUCUGAAGGUGAAAUACACUUCGCCAUAAAUGCAU